AUUGAACGCUGGCGGCAUGCUUUACACAUGCAAGUCGAACGGCAGCGCGGGCUUCGGCCUGGCGGCGAGUGGCGAACGGGUGAGUAAUGCAUCGGAACGUGCCCAGCAGUGGGGGAUAGCCCGGCGAAAGCCGGAUUAAUACCGCAUACGACCUGAGGGUGAAAGCGGGGGACCGAAAGGCCUCGCGCUAUUGGAGCGGCCGAUGUCGGAUUAGCUAGUUGGUGGGGUAAAGGCUUACCAAGGCGACGAUCCGUAGCUGGUCUGAGAGGACGACCAGCCACACUGGAACUGAGACACGGCCCAGACUCCUACGGGAGGCAGCAGUGGGGAAUUUUGGACAAUGGGGGCAACCCUGAUCCAGCCAUGCCGCGUGCGGGAAGAAGGCCUUCGGGUUGUAAACCGCUUUUGUUCGGGAAGAAAUCCUCUGGGCUAAUACCCCGGGGGGAUGACGGUACCGGAAGAAUAAGCACCGGCUAACUACGUG
rnacentral:rRNA from 1 species